UGAGGAAUAUUGCGCAAUGGUCGAAAGACUGACGCAGCAACGCCGCGUGUGGGAUGAAGGUGCUAUGCAUCGUAAACCACUGUAGCAUGGGACAAAAAGCACCUUAGGGGUGUUAGAUGGUACCAUGAAAGUAAGCAUCGGCUAACUACGUG
rnacentral:rRNA from 1 species